UACAGAGGGGGCAAGCGUUGUUCGGAAUUACUGGGCGUAAAGGGCGCGUAGGCGGCCUUCUAAGUCGAACGUGAAAUCCCCGGGCUCAACCCGGGAACUGCGUCCGAUACUGGAAGGCUUGAAUCCGGGAGAGGGAUGCGGAAUUCCAGGUGUAGCGGUGAAAUGCGUAGAUAUCUGGAGGAACACCGGUGGCGAAGGCGGCAUCCUGGACCGGCAUUGACGCGUGAGGCGCGAAAGCCAGGGGAG
rnacentral:rRNA from 1 species